rnacentral:rRNA from 1 species
GUGAAAUCCCGGGGCUCAACCCCGGAACUGCCUUUGAUACUGUCAGUCUAGAGUCCGGAAGAGGUGAAUGGAACUCCUAGUGUAGAGGUGAAAUUCGUAGAUAUUAGUGAAGAACACCAGUGGCGAAGGCGAUUCACUGGUCCGGUACUGACGCUGAGGUGCGAAAGCGUGGAGCAAACAGGAUUAGAUACCCUGGUAGUCCACGCCGUAAACGAUGCUAACUCGUUUUUGGGCUUUAGGGUUCAGAGACCAAGCGAAAGUGAUAAGUUAGCCACCUGGGGAGUACGCUCGCAAGAGUGAAACUCAAAGGAAUUGACGGGGCC